CGCGUUAUCAGGAAAUUACUUCCAAAACAAAAUCCUGGACGGCGGCCAAGGAAAGAACAUUUCUUCGUGUGUGAUACAAUAACUUGAACAUAAUGCACAGUGCUCUUCUCCUAGUAGGCUAUGAUUUUUUUUUAUAAAUUUUUGUCUACUUUUAUAAAUGAAUAAAUGAAUAAUGCUCAGUCGGAAACAAAAAAUUGAAGCUGAAAAAAGAAAAAUUAACUUUAGCUAGAAUAAUAAAUGGAUAAAAAAGGUAUAGUGAACAGGCCUUCGUCGUCUUUGUCUCUAAGAGACAAGAAAAUUUGUCUGGACGUAUGGAAACGAUGUCAUUAUUUUA